rnacentral:rRNA from 1 species
UACGUAGGGACCAAGCGUUGUUCGGAUUUACUGGGCGUAAAGGGCGCGUAGGCGGCGCGGUAAGUCACUUGUGAAAUCUCUGAGCUUAACUCAGAACGGCCAAGUGAUACUGCAGUGCUAGAGUGUGGAAGGGGCAAUCGGAAUUCUUGGUGUAGCGGUGAAAUGCGUAGAUAUCAUGAGGAAGACCAGUGGCGAAGGCGGGUCUCUGGACAGUUCCUGACACUGAGGCACGAAGGCCAGGGGAGCAAACGGG